rnacentral:tRNA from 1 species
GGGGCAUUAGUUCAGCGGUAGAACAAAGGACUCUUAAUCCUUGUGUCACUGGUUCGAUUCCAGUAUGCCCCACCA